rnacentral:rRNA from 1 species
CCUACGGGCGGCAGCAGUGAGGAAUAUUGGUCAAUGGACGCAAGUCUGAACCAGCCAUGCCGCGUGCAGGAAGACGGCUCUAUGAGUUGUAAACUGCUCUUGUACGAGGGUAAACGCAGAUACGUGUAUCUGUCUGAAAGUAUCGUACGAAUCAGGAACGGCGAACUCCGUGCCAGCAGCCGGGGUAAUACGGAGGAUUCAAGCGUUAUCCGGAUGUAUUGGGCUUAAAGGGUGCGUAGGCGGUCGGAUAAGUUAGAGGUUAAUUCCCGAGGCUCAACUUCGGAAUUGCAUCUGAUACUGUUCGGCUAGAAAGUAGUAGCGGUAGGCGGAAUGUAUGGUGUAGCGGUGAAAUGCUUAGAGAUCAUACGGAACACCGAUUGCGAAGGCAGCUUACCAAGCUACUUCUGACGUUGAGGCACGAAAGCGUGGGGAGCAAACGGGAUUAGAUACCCGUGUAGUC